rnacentral:rRNA from 1 species
UACGUAGGGUGCAAGCGUUAAUCGGAAUUACUGGGCGUAAAGCGUGCGCAGGCGGUUUGUUAAGUCUGCUGUGAAAUCCCCGAGCUCAACUUGGGAAUUGCAGUGGAUACUGGCAGGCUAGAGUAUGGUAGAGGAAGGUGGAAUUCCCGGUGUAGCAGUGAAAUGCGUAGAGAUCGGGAGGAACACCAGUGGCGAAGGCGGCCUUCUGGACCAAUACUGACGCUCAUGCACGAAAGCGUGGGGAGCAAACAGG